AUUUUAUCUUACGUGUGUUUACUUCCGAGUACUACUGUCACCUGAAAUUCGACACGAAUUUUGCAUUUUGAAACUAGUUUUGCGCUAGAUCUUAACUCCAAGAUGGUCUGAUUAAUAAUAAAUGCCUGUGAGUACGUGGCCACUAAGAUUGGCCGCGCUCUGGGCAUCACCAAAGAUGAGGAAUCAUCAUCUAAGAGGAAGGCGAACUGUUCCAGUAAAUCGGGACAAGAAAAGUACCGUCCCCUGAAUGAAGAUGGUGUUUCUUCUGAGGGAAUAGUUCACAGAGAGAAACCUGUGUGCAAUAAACAGUCUGGAUGAGGCUAAAGAGGGACAACUCUGCUUGUCCUUAAAAUGCUGAGAUGAACUACUUUCUGCUGGAGAUUUACUUUUCCCUGUUUGUACAACAGAGUGAAUGACUGGCCAGCUGUAAACAUAGUCAAUAUGGAAGCUGACUAAGAUGCUGCUAAAUCUGUAGCAGAAAUAGUCAUUCUUUUACUUUUUUUUCCAGAUUUCUAUCAAAGAGACAGAUAUAUUUAUAUUCUAUGUACUGUACAUGCUUGUUCAAAUUAUUCAUUCAUACAAAGGUAGAUCAAAUCUGUAAUGGCACACAGAGAUAUACUAGUAGUUUGAUGAAUAAAGGGAGGUAGGGCUUGAAAUUUAAAGGUCAGUGAAGCAUUUGUCAUUUCUUUAAGGGUUGAUCGAAUAUUGAAUGCGUUGGACGAGAAGUGGAAGAUCAAAAAUCCACAAGCACCUAGAUCCACCAACUAUUCAUCAUCUGUUAAAAAUCAAUUUAAAUUGUCUCAGGAAAUUUUACUCUGGGAUCACACAGACUGUGCUGGUGGUUUAAAUUUGUAUAAAAAGUUGCCAAGAAUGCUUAACACAUUACACAUUUUUAGUUUUACUUGUAUCAAAGAAACAGAUAUAUUAUUCUAUACAUUGCUUGUACAAAUUAUUCAUUCAUACAAAGGUAGAGCUCUCAGGGAUAGGGUUUGAUGGAGGAAGAGGGGGGGGGGGGUAGGGCCUGAAAUUUAAAGGUUAGUGAAGCAUUUACCAUUUUUUUUAAGGGUUGAUUGAAUUGUAAAUGUGUUGGGCGAGAAGUAGAAGAUCAAAAAUCCACAAGCACCUAGAUUCACCGACUAUUCACAGAAAUUUGUAUCCAUAGUUUUAGAUUUUGUUAUUACUAUUUGGCAAAAAUUAAUUUAAAUUUUCUCAGGAAAUUUUGCUCUGUGAUCACACAGACUGUGCUGGUUGUGUUAAAUUUUUAAUAUGUUCAGAUUAUAAAAUACAUGUAGUUGCCAAUAUUAAAUGCUUUAGUUAACACAUCACACAUUUUUAGAUAAAAGCUUAAUUAGAAAAUGUUAGUAGGAAAACACUAUGAUCUUAUUAUUGUUGACUGCAGUGACACUUGCUCAUAUUUUUUACUACAUAUAAAUUAUUGAAAUGUUGAUUUGCUUUUAGUUAUAAAAAAUGCAGAUUUUUUUAGCUUAUACAUGUAUAUCUCUCUUUCUACAUUCCAAUCCAUGUCAAAAAGAACUACAUGCAUGAAUACUACACGUCAAUCAUCUAAAAUCUUCUUUUAAUUUCUUAUUUAUUAUGUUAUUAUAUAGUAAAUAUUAUUUAACCCUAUGUAUAUAAAAAAUUAUAAACAUUGCACAGACAAUAAUUUGUGACAACAUUUUAUUGUUUUGUUCUGGACAUUGUACGUCGUACAGUUUUAAGUGCCUAUGAUAAGUCAGAUUAAAACAUGGUCAGAGAUAACAUGGUGUCUGACUUUGAUGUUUAUUUCACUUAAUGAAUGAAACAAUAAAAUAUACCAAACUCAA